CUGAGUACAGCCACAGCACGCCGCAGGGCCCUUGGGCAGGGCUCAUGCAGUGCUCUCAGAAGCUGCACCCACGCCCUGGCCCAGGACCCUGGACAUGGCAACUCACUUGAUGAAGUUUCACUUCUGUUUCUCAACACCUUCCAGACUGUCAUCCUAUGGAGAGGAGGAGGGUCUGGGAAAGGGUCCUGGUCUGAAGUUAAAAGAAAGUCUCAAGGCAGCCUUUAGGAAUACCAACUGCAGAAAUCAGGAGUGCGAGAUGGAAGUGAAUAUGAUCCCAACCUGGGCAUUCAUGUUGGUACCCUGAGGACCUUCAGCACAGAGCCCCCAUCAAGUGAUCAAAUCCCAGGGUUUGAUAGCCACUCUAAAGUCCACGCUGACAGCCCAGGGUCAAGCAGAGCCAGCCUCACAGAGUCCUGGUGAGAAUUCCAUGAGCUAACCCACAAGAAGUGCUGGCACAUAGUAAGUUCUCAAUAAAUGUUGGCUAUUAGCAUCAAAACACGGACUGAGGUGGACC